rnacentral:sRNA from 1 species
ACCUGGUGUAAAGCGGUUACUGGAGCCC